rnacentral:rRNA from 1 species
UACAGAGGUCCCAAGCGUUGUUCGGAUUUACUGGGCGUAAAGGGCGCGUAGGCGGUGCGGUAAGUCACCUGUGAAACCUCUAGGCUCAACCUAGAGCCUGCAGGCGAAACUGCCGUGCUUGAGGGUGGGAGAGGUGCGUGGAAUUCCCGGUGUAGCGGUGAAAUGCGCAGAUAUCAGGAGGAACACCGGUGGCGAAGGCGGGUCUCUGGGCCGAUACUGACGCUGAGGAGCGAAGGCGUGGGGAGCGAACAGG